AUUGAACGCUGGCGGCAUGCCUUACACAUGCAAGUCGAACGGCAGCGCGGUCUUCGGCCUGGCGGCCCGUGGCGUACGGUUGAGUCAUACACCGUAACGUCCCCUGCUGCGUGGGAUAACUAGUCGAAAGAUUAGCUAAUACCUCAUACGACCUGAGGGUGAAAGUGGGGGACCGCAACGCCUCACGCCGCACGAGCUGCCGCUGUCCGUUUACCUAGUUGGUGGGGUAAAGGCCCACUAAGCCGACGAUCAGUAGCUGGUCUGAUGGGACGAUCAGCCACACUGGGACUGAGACACGGUCCAGACUCCUACGGGAGGCAGCAGUGGGGAAUUUUGGACAAUGGGGGCAACCCUGAUCCAGCAAUGCCGCGUGUGUGAAGAAGGCCUUCGGGUUGUAAAGCACUUUUGUACGGAAAGAAAUCGCGCUGGUUAAUACCUGGCGUGGAUGACGGUACCGGAAGAAUAAGCACCGGCUAACUACGUG
rnacentral:rRNA from 1 species